CGGAUGAACGCUGGCGGCGUGCUUAACACAUGCAAGUCGAACGGAGAAAGGGUAGCUUGCUAUCUUUUCUUAGUGGCGGACGGGUGAGUAACGCGUGGGUAACCUGCCCUUUGCAGGGGGAUAACAGUGAGAAAUCACUGCUAAUACCGCAUACCAACUUCUUUCGCAUGAAGGAAGUUUGAAAGAUUUAUCGGCAAAGGAUGGACCCGCGUUGGAUUAGCUAGUUGGUGAGAUAACAGCCCACCAAGGCAACGAUCCAUAGCCGGCCUGAGAGGGUGAACGGCCACACUGGGACUGAGACACGGCCCAGACUCCUACGGGAGGCAGCAGUGGGGAAUAUUGCACAAUGGGCGAAAGCCUGAUGCAGCGACGCCGCGUGAAGGAUGAAGGUCUUCGGAUUGUAAACUUCUAUCAGCAGGGAAGAAAGGGCCUAUGGCCUAUGACGGUACCUGACUAAGAAGCCCCGGCUAACUACGUG
rnacentral:rRNA from 1 species